rnacentral:piRNA from 1 species
UGGGAGAGCAAGGGCUAUAGUUCUGGUC